rnacentral:rRNA from 1 species
AUUGAACGCUGGCGGCAUGCUUUACACAUGCAAGUCGAACGGUAACAGGCCGCAAGGUGCUGACGAGUGGCGAACGGGUGAGUAAUGCAUCGGAACGUGCCCAGUCGUGGGGGAUAACGCAGCGAAAGCUGUGCUAAUACCGCAUACGAUCUAUGGAUGAAAGCGGGGGAUCGCAAGACCUCUCGCUAUUGGAGCGGCCGAUGUCAGAUUAGGUAGUGGGUGGGGUAAAGGCCUACCAAGCCGACGAUCUGUAGCUGGUCUGAGAGGACGACCAGCCACACUGGGACUGAGACACGGCCCAGACUCCUACGGGAGGCAGCAGUGGGGAAUUUUGGACAAUGGGCGCAAGCCUGAUCCAGCCAUGCCGCGUGCGGGAAGAAGGCCUUCGGGUUGUAAACCGCUUUUGUCAGGGAAGAAAUCUUCUGGGUUAAUACCUCGGGAGGAUGACGGUACCUGAAGAAUAAGCACCGGCUAACUACGUGCCAGCAGCCGCCGUAAUAC